rnacentral:rRNA from 1 species
ACUCCUACGGGAGGCAGCAGUGGGGAAUAUUGCACAAUGGGCGCAAGCCUGAUGCAGCCAUGCCGCGUGUAUGAAGAAGGCCUUCGGGUGUAAAGUACUUUCAGCAGUGAGGAAGUGGGUAUGUUAAUAGCAUACUCAUUUGACGUUAGCUGCAGAAGAAGCACCGGCUAACUCCGUGCCAGCAGCCGCGGUAAUACGGAGGGUGCGAGCGUUAAUCGGAAUUACUGGGCGUAAAGCGCAUGCAGGUGGUUGUUAAGUCAGAUGUGAAAGCCCGGGGCUCAACCUCGGAAUUGCAUUUGAAACUGGCAAACUAGAGUACUGUAGAGGGGGUAGAAUUUCAGGUGUAGCGGUGAAAUGCGUAGAGAUCUGAAGGAAUACCGGUGGCGAAGGCGGCCCCCUGGACAGAUACUGACACUCAGAUGCGAAAGCGUGGGGAGCAAACAGGAUUAGAUACCCUGGUAG